CAAUGGAGAGGCUUGGAGCUGCUUAGUAAGAGGGAGACUGACACCUGGACCAGGAAUCUAUCAUGGCUGUCCUCUGAGAGGCUCUACCAGCAGCUGACCGAGACAAGCAAGCAUUGGAUUGAGGUCGGGGACCCCUAUGGAAGAGUUAGGGGAAGGAUUGAAGGAACUUCAGGGGGUGGCAACCCCAUAGGAAGCCAAACAGUAUCAACUAACCUGGAUCUCUGGGAGCUUCUAGAAAUUGAACCACCAACCAAAGAGCAAACACAGGCUGGUCAGAGGCCCCAGGAACAUAUAUAACUGUGGGGUGCCUUGUCUGUCCUCAGUGGGAGAUGAUGCAUCAAUCCUGUUGAUCCUGUAGAGACAUGAUGCCCCAGGGUAGGUGAUAACCUCGGGUGGGGUUACCCUCUCAGAGGUGAACAGGUGGGCAGAUGGAAGGAAGAACUCUGC
rnacentral:lncRNA from 1 species